rnacentral:lncRNA from 1 species
AAAAAUCAAAUGCAUUUUUAAGUCAUCAUUUGUAUCAUAUUUUAAUUAAUUUUUAUUCAUUACUUUGCAUAUAUAAUCUCAGAUUAAUUACAGUAUAAUGUGAUUAAAAUGAUAUUUUUUUGGCUUACACAUUGAAAGAGACAAAUUUGAAUAAAACAAAAGAGAGUGAGACAAAAUAUGCAUCUUUUUUCAUUUUAACCAUACAUUAAUAUCAUGCGUAUGUUUAGAGUACAUAUUUGUCCAAAUAUAUAUAAAAAAACAAGUAAACUCAUCACCCUCAAGCUUGUUGCACAUCCAUCAUUAACCAUCUCCAAAAUGCUCCCCAUCCAUAUGCAAAAACAAACAAAAAUAAAAUCAGUCAACACACCGUAACAUACUACAUGAUACAAUGCAUACAUGAUACAUCAAAGUGGGACCAUAAGGAUAGCUUCUAAAAUUUCUUUACCUACGUACUCAAAGGUCAUCAUAAGGGAUUUUCAUUCAAAUUCCACAAUCACCCAUAAUAGUUUCAUUUCCGUUUCUCCUUUGGACCCCACAAAAUCUAGAAGAAAUUCUCCUCUAACGGAUUCACACACUUGGGAAAAUAUCUUAUUAAUUUCACACGAGUAAAGAUUCACACAUUACUCACACCCCACUCUCAUUUCAUUCUCCUAUAUAAAGGGUGUCAAUGAUUGGCACUAUACACACAAUCUCUACGCACAAAAUCCCUGCCAAAUUUCACUCAGAGCUCCACUAAAGGAUUGCUAAGAGUUUCAUAUUGAAACUCUGAUACAAUUAGAGCUACACAAGCCACCCACCUAGUCACUCACAUAAAGAAGCAUCAAAUAGAAAACAUGGAAGAAGAGGAAGACAAGUUCAAAGCAAGCAAAACAAAUAGACUAAAUGCUACCUGGAUUUCACCUAUGAAGUUUGUAGAACUUGGUAGAUUCCCAUCAAUUUUAAUUUGUUGCUGAGUUAUUGCUUUAGUUAUUUAUUUCGCAUUUUCCAUUUUCAAAUGUAAUCUAUAAUAGCUCUUACAUAUUGAAGUAUGGGGUAAGGUUUGCAAUUUGGGGCUAAGGGUAUUUGUGUUUUUGGUUGUUUAUUUGGUUGUUCUGACUGUGAAACCAUGUUUGCAAGUGAGAAACGAGUGAGAUUAGUAUUGGAAUUUGUUUGAUUGAGUGAUUUUUGCAGUUAGGGUUCUUAAGUUUCUAAAUUCCCGAUUCGGCCAUUUGGUAGAGUUUUUGAUUGAAUGGAGGUUGGAUUCGAGUAGAGGGCGAAAAAAAAAGGGGUUACUCUUGUUUGUUUUUUGUUCUGGGCGAGGGUGGCCUGAGAAGACGGCGACAACCACCAUGGAUUAUCAGUGUCAUCGUCUCUGACGAGAUGUUCUGGUUAGCAUGUGUGUGUUUGUCUGUGUGAGUGAGAGAGAGAGAGUUGUAAAGGACAAAGAAGGAGAGAAAGAGAAGGUAUUGAUGAAUAAGGGAGGCGGAGGGAGUCUUAGGGUUUUCUUAAAGCUGGUAAGGGUUUGGGCCUUUGGGCUCAACCCGUUUCAUGAGACCAAACGCCCCUCCUGCCACGCACACUUCCCCUAUCUCACCAUGUAUUUUGUUUGGGCCAAACAAAUGAGCCCAAAUCACUAGCCUGCAAUUUUAUUUCAGUGUACCCCAUAUUUCUGCAAUGCCUUGGGCCAACAACACUAGCCCAAUACACCUCAAUCAUCCCUUUGCUUCAGCGCACGCCACACUUCCUGCCAGCGCACCCCCUGCUCUUGUUUUAGAUGCAAUUUCAAGUAGGUCAUCACCUUGGACCCAAUCCUAAAUUAGCAGGCCAUUUUCUCUUUUUAUUUCUUUGCACCCCAUUGUUUUGCACUUCAAAUUGGUUUUCUUACUUAAAUUAAUUAAUUGAAAUUUAUUUUAAUUAAUUAAGUUUGUUAGUUAAAUUUUAUUAACUUAACUAAUGAUUGAAAUAAUUAUUUUAAUUAAUUAGUUAUGAUAAUUAAUUUUAAUAAACUUAUUUAAUGGAU